AGGGCUGUAGCUCAGUGGUAGAAUGUCAACUUGGCAUGCCAAAGAUCCCAGGUUCAAACCUUGGCUUCUCUA